UACGUAGGGGCAAGCGUUGUCCGGAUUUAUUGGGCGUAAAGAGCGUGUAGGCGGCUUUACAGGUCCGUUGUGAAAACUCGAGGCUCAACCUCGAGACGCCGGUGGAAACCGUAAAGCUAGAGUCCGGAAGAGGAGAGUGGAAUUCCUGGUGUAGCGGUGAAAUGCGCAGAUAUCAGGAGGAACACCGGUGGCGAAGGCGGGUCUCUGGGCCGAUACUGACGCUGAGGAGCGAAAGCGUGGGGAGCGAACAGG
rnacentral:rRNA from 1 species